rnacentral:rRNA from 1 species
CUACGUGCCAGCAGCCGCGGUAAUACGGGGGGUGCGAGCGUUAAUCGGAAUAACUGGGCGUAAAGGGCACGCAGGCGGUGACUUAAGUGAGAUGUGAAAGCCCCGGGCUUAACCUGGGAAUUGCAUUUCAUACUGGGUCGCUAGAGUACUUUAGGGAGGGGUAGAAUUCCACGUGUAGCGGUGAAAUGCGUAGAGAUGUGGAGGAAUACCGAAGGCGAAGGCAGCCCCUUGGGAAUGUACUGACGCUCAUGUGCGAAAGCGUGGGGAGCAAACWGGAUUAGAUACCCUGGUAGUCCACGCUGUAAACGAUGUCGAUUUGGGGGUUGGGCUUUAAGCUUGGCGCCCGUAGCUAACGUGAUAAAUCGACCGCCUGGGGAGUACGGCCGCAAGGUUAAAACUCAAAUGAAUUGACGGGGGCCCGCACAAGCGGUGGAGCAUGUGGUUUAAUUCGAUGCAACGCGAAGAACCUUACCUACUCUUGACAUCCAGA